ensembl:snoRNA
UUCCUCCUGUGGUUCAUACUCAUGGUGAUUGAGUUUUCAUGCUACGGUGUGAAAUGUGCCUCCUCAAACCUUGCUACCACAUCAGCACAUUACCUGGCUGAUG